AUGGCGACAUACUCACAUAUGUUUAUCACCCUUGUCAUCGUUUCUAUUCUCAGUGCCCACUUCCAAGCCCAAGGAACAACAGAAAGUGUCGCAACUAACAACUCAGUACGUGACAGGAAGACAAUUGUCCAAGGGACCUAUUUGCCUCAAAGAACCGUUUCAAGACGGUGCACACCAUGCAGAGGCUGUGCACAAAAAACUUGUUGCUACGAGUUCAUUUGCAAUGAUCCUACAAAUCCAGGUCUCACUUGCGUUGGUACUUUGCUCUAUUGUGGUUGUACUAUUGAAACUUGUAAUAGUAAUUUUUAA
rnacentral:rRNA from 1 species